rnacentral:tRNA from 1 species
GCUAGCAUGACAUAGUGGUUUGAGUGUUGGAUUAUGACUCUGGAGACCAGGUUUCAAUUCCCUGCUCAACCA